rnacentral:rRNA from 1 species
AGUGAACGCUGGCGGUAGGCCUAACACAUGCAAGUCGAACGGCAGCACAGUAAGAGCUUGCUCUUACGGGUGGCGAGUGGCGGACGGGUGAGGAAUACAUCGGAAUCUACUUUUUCGUGGGGGAUAACGUAGGGAAACGUACGCUAAUACCGCAUACGACCUACGGGUGAAAGCAGGGGAUCUUCGGACCUUGCGCGAUUGAAUGAGCCGAUGUCGGAUUAGCUAGUUGGCGGGGUAAAGGCCCACCAAGGCGACGAUCCGUAGCUGGUCUGAGAGGAUGAUCAGCCACAUUGGAAUUGGGACACGGUCCAUACGCCUUAGGGUAGCGACAGUCGGGAAUAGUAGACAAUGGGCGCAAGCCUGAUCCAGCCAUACCGCGUGGGUGAAGAAGGCCUUCGGGUUGUAAAGCCCUUUUGUUGGGAAAGAAAAGCAGCAGGUUAAUACCCCGCUGUUCUGACGGUACCCAAAGAAUAAGCACCGGCUAACUUCGUG